rnacentral:rRNA from 1 species
CCUACGGGAGGCAGCAGUGGGGGAUAUUGCACAAUGGGGGGAACCCUGAUGCAGCGAAGUCGCGUGGGUGAAGAAGCGCCUCGGCGCGUAAAGCCCUGUCAGCAGGGGAGAAAAUGACGGUACCUGAAGAAGUCGCCCCGGCUAACUACGUGCCAGCAGCCGCGGUAAUACGUAGGGGGCAAGCGUGAUCCGGAUUUACUGGGGGUAAAGGGGGCGCAGACGGGGAUGCAAGCCAGGAGGGAAAGCACGGGGGCUGACCCCGGGACUGCUCUUGGAACUGGGUGGCUGGAGUGCAGGAGGGGCAGGCGGAAUGCGUGGUGUAGCGGUGAAAUGCGUAGAUAUCAGGAGGAACACCGGUGGCGAAGGCAGCCUGCUGGACUGCAACUGACGUUGAGGCCCGAAAGCGUGGGGAGCGAACAGGAUUAGAUACCCCAGUAGUC